CACGUAGGGUGCGAGCGUUGUCCGGAAUUAUUGGGCGUAAAGAGCUCGUAGGCGGUGUGUCGCGUCGGCCGUGAAAACCUGUGGCUUAACUAUGGGCUUGCGGUCGAUACGGGCGGACUCGAGUUCGGCAGGGGAGACUGGAAUUCCUGGUGUAGCGGUGAAAUGCGCAGAUAUCAGGAGGAACACCAAUUGCGAAGGCAGCUCGCUGGGACGUUACUGACGCUGAGACGCGAAAGCGUGGGGAGCAAACGGG
rnacentral:rRNA from 1 species